UGCGCAGGCGGUUGAGUAAGACAGAUGUGAAAUCCCCGAGCUUAACUCGGGAAUGGCAUAUGUGACUGCUCGACUAGAGUGUGUCAGAGGGAGGUGGAAUUCCACGUGUAGCAGUGAAAUGCGUAGAUAUGUGGAAGAACACCGAUGGCGAAGGCAGCCUCCUGGGACAUAACUGAGCUCAGGCACGAAAGCUGGGGAGCAAACA
rnacentral:rRNA from 1 species